rnacentral:rRNA from 1 species
AUUGAACGCUGGCGGCAGGCUUAACACAUGCAAGUCGAGCGGGGAAAGGUAGCUUGCUACCUGACCUAGCGGCGGACGGGUGAGUAAUGCUUAGGAAUCUGCCUAUUAGUGGGGGACAACAUCUCGAAAGGGAUGCUAAUACCGCAUACGUCCUACGGGAGAAAGCAGGGGACCUUCGGGCCUUGCGCUAAUAGAUGAGCCUAAGUCGGAUUAGCUAGUUGGUGGGGUAAAGGCCUACCAAGGCGACGAUCUGUAGCGGGUCUGAGAGGAUGAUCCGCCACACUGGGACUGAGACACGGCCCAGACUCCUACGGGAGGCAGCAGUGGGGAAUAUUGGACAAUGGGGGGAACCCUGAUCCAGCCAUGCCGCGUGUGUGAAGAAGGCCUUUUGGUUGUAAAGCACUUUAAGCGAGGAGGAGGCUACCGAGAUUAAUACUCUUGGAUAGCGGACGUUACUCGCAGAAUAAGCACCGGCUAACUCUGUG